GCACGAUCAUCUGAAACUGUCAACACAAAAACUCCAGAAAGAGAAGGGUGGCAAAGCUUAUAUUGUUGCUUGGCGCUUUCGGUGAAGGAACUCGAUAGUAGUGUGAGGCGUGGUGGGACAUGCUCACCACCCUUGUCCGGCGCCGAACAACCCGCUCUCCAUCAGUUCGUUUGUGAUCAAGCCGUCGAGGUCGAGGUCCUCCAGUUGAUGGAAGGAGUCGUCGACCUUCGAGUUCACCGCAAUGCCACCGGUAGCAGCAGCUGGACUGCUGCUCACCGACUUGAAGCUGUUGUUUCUGCCGGGGGGCAUGCUGGCUGUGUUGUUGAUCACAUUGCUUGGGCCAGUACCAGCUGGAGCAGCACCCUUCACCGCGCCGUUAUGGUCACGGGUAUUACUGUUGAUAUGCUGUCCCUGCUCCCCAGCAGCAGCAACGUUGGGAAUAGCAACUCCUGGUGCAAGACCGCCGCUCGCUUUAGGUGCAUCUGGAGGCAGUUGCUGUGCUUUCACGUGGUUAUUGUUCUUAACUUCCUGCAGAAGCUGAUUAAGCACAUGGUGCUGGUACUGUGGGUUAA
rnacentral:misc_RNA from 1 species